GGCAGGUCCUUUCAGCAAAGGGGGAGUAUGGCCCCAGAGCCUGGUAUGGGAAUUGCCCAGACAUGCAGGAUGGGAAGGUCCAGCAGCAGCUGCCUAUGCCCAGCACAACUGAUCCUCAUUGCAGGGAAUGCAGCAGGGGCUGGUAUAAGUCAGACAAGAUGCAAAUCAAGGACAGGCUGUGAUAUAUAAAUUGCUCUGUCCCACUGCUCAGGCAGUAGCUCCACAGACAACCCACAGCCCCUUGGAUCUGGGCAAUGACCACCAACAUCCAAGAGCUUCCCCCAGCACCAGGGAAGAUGGGACUUGGGCUCCAGCUGCUUGUCCUGUUCACAGCUCUGAAAGGUGCCUGGUCCCAGGUGCAGCUGCUGGAGUCUGGAGGAGCUGUGAGGAAACCGGGAGGCUUUCUGCGCCUCUCCUGCAAAACCUCUGGGUUCCCCUUUAGUGACGAGCAUAUGGACUGGGUCCGCCAGGCUCCUGGGAAGGGGCUGGAGUGGGUGGCUGGAGUGAACAGUGUUGGCUCCACCGAGUGGUACUCCGCGGCUGUUGAGGGGCGAUUCACCGUCUCCAGGGACAACUCCCAGAACACGGCGUACCUGCAGAUGAGCAGCCUCGAACCCGAGGACACGGCCCUGUAUUACUGUUCCAGAGACACAGUCCAGGAGCCCUGA